UGCAGGAAGGUUUCCACAGAGAUUUAUUUUAAACCAUGGAGGCAGCUUUGCAUUGAGAGUCUUACACUGGUAAUGGCUACAUACGGUUUCGGUUAGAGGGAAGCUCAGUGGGAAAGUGAGCAGAGUUUAAAAACAUUCACAACAUUCAGCAGCAUUUGAAGGUAGAACUGGAUACAGACAUUUUAACAUUGUAAGAAAUUCUUGCUCAAUCCCACCUAGUCACAUUCAGGAAGUCAAUAUCCAGACUGCUCGGUCUGGUUGUGGACCGCUGUGGCAGAGAGCAUGGCACUGCCGGGAGGAUCCAGCUAGAACCACAUCUGAGAAGUCUGUUCCAGCUUCGGGUUUAUUACAUUCUCAGCCUGACCCCUUGGGGAAUCUCAUUUCAAAAAGAAAGAAAAAGAUAUUGAUAAAGUAACAUGCCCGCUGCAGCUGCCGACGGAUGGCGUGCAGCAUGGAAGAGUCCAUGUCCCUGGUUAUGGAUAAGGUGGUAGGCAGGCACGAACGUGGGGCUAGCACCUUCCCUGUUGUCCAGUUAAUAAGUUUUUGUACUUUUCAUAUAAGAUUUUCUUUUGAAAAUGACAGUACACUGAAAAAAAGUUAUUUAAAAAGCAAGGCAAAUGGCGUAAAACACAAAUAUACAAGAGUACAAUGGUUACCAGUGACACAAGUGUUUUGGUCCAUACUUCAAAUGGGCAUAUGCUACUGAUAUAAGGCUGACAUCCAUUUAAAUGGGGAAAAAAGUGUAUAUAAGUGAAAUACUUUUUUCAAACCAUUUUCCCUUUUUGUGUUAUAGUUCACUCUCUCAUAUUUCUCAGAGAACCAAGGAAAAAAAAAAAAGGAGGAAAGAAUCAUAAAUAUCAAGGUCAGAUUCUAAAUCUAACGUUUAAACCAUCCUGCAGUUCUCUCACACUUUCUCUCCCAAGAAAGUCAGAUACACGUUUUGACUCACAAAGGUGAACAUUUUGAGGUAUCUAUUUUUAAAGAGAUGGUACCAUGAUUAACUUCCACGUUCACCAUCUUUUUCAAACCUACUAGGCUUUAGAUGGAAAAAUGCAGAAAGAAACUUACUAGAUAUGACAGAAGACAAAGGCAUUGCGACAUGCUCUCAUGUAUCCCAGGAAGUCAGCCACAUGUGGGUCGCUCGCUGGUAAUGGUUUAGGCCAGUCCAAUAAUAAACAACAUUCACGGAAUCACAGGAUCACAGGAUCGGAAGGGAUCUUAAGAACAAUCAUCGAAGUCAACCCUUAUUCAAGCUGUCACCUCCUUCCCACAUCUCUGACGAGGGGCUUUCUGCUGUGUAUUCAAACACUGCCUGGUAUGGGAAACACAGAGGAGGAAUCCCACUCCAAUUUCGGACAGAUCUAAUUUUCAGACACUGCUUUCAUGUGUUAGGCCUCUUGGUGGAAAUGAUAACGUUUAAAGGCAAAAAUACAAACUAAAAACCCAGAGGGUUGGUAUGUAUAUAGUUCUUGGUUAUAAAGUUGAGCUAAAGUUUAAAAAUAAACAUGGAUGUUCCUCAAUUAAGUUAUGGAUAUAUGAUACUUGAGUAGUGAAAGACAAAGGCAAAUGGAUGGAAUAGCAAGAACCAGAAAGCCCAAGCCCUGAGGGGGGAUGGUGGGAUGUCCCUGCCUUGGCAGAGCCAGGUCUCUGAGGCAGUGGCUGCCGGAGCCUUUUUACUGACACCGAAUGGAGAAAAAGGUUUCCACCUACUAGGCGAGUGCCACUGUGAUGAGGAUUUAUCACAUUUACCACUUGGUACUGAAAUGACCCAUUACUUGAAAGGACGAUUUAAGGCCGAGAGAGAAAUGGAGGGCAGCAGCUGCCUGCUUAUGUACCAAAAGGCUGAUGCUGCUUAUUAGUGUAAGGCCACAGUUGUCCAGAACAAUCUUCCCCUGCCACAGGUCAAGGCCUUAAGCCUGGCUCACCUGUGUAAUUGUGGAAUUAUUAUGUAAGUUCUUCCAGGCCAAGUGUGUGCAUGCAGUGAUCGCUAGCUCUACCUCAUGGCCUCGAGUGAGGGGCUAUGCACCCAGAAAGUUUUAAAGUUAGUUACCAUGGGUCAUUUUAAGAUAACAAUUCCAGGUACUUCCAAAGAAAAAGAAACUGAUACUAGCCUCAGCUGUAGGUAAACAUGACUCUCAAACUAAUGAGCCUCUGAGUGGACCUGUCACGGCAGACCGUGUGCUGCCGCCCUCUCCGUGGUCAUGAGCAUCCGAGCGUCACAGUGACAAGAGCUCAGGCUCCAGGACUGCAGCUGAGUGCUUGAUAUUCUCUGGCAACUCCAGACCACUUGUGGUCCCUGAGCACCAGGCUGAUGCUAGAUCUUGGGCCUUUAUUUAUGCUGUUUCUGCAGCCUGGAAAAUCACACCCUUACUUGACUCACUCCAACGCAGCUCAGAACUCCUUGCCUCUAUGAAACCCCUCUGGCCCCACCCAUGCGGGACCGCACGCAUACCUCCAUCACUGAAUUUACCACGUGAUACUGAAAUGAUCUCUGCAUGCCCUCUGCCCAUACCAGGGAAGGGACCUCGUCAUCCCAGGGCCUAGUUCAAAGCCUGGUAGAUGGUGGGCACUCAACAAAUGGUUGAACUGGACUAGAAUCUCAAGGAUCAACUAGGAAACUCAGUGUUCAAAAUGGACUUAAUUUCUGUGUUUUUCAGUCAGGUUGCUGGAUAUCCACUUCCACAUCAGGAAAAAUUUAAGUUAACAUUAUUUUAAAGGAGAGAAAAAGAAGAAUGUUUUGACAAAAUUCUUGCUUUGACUUUAAAAUAUAAAUCUUGGUGGACAAGGUCACUUACAUACAAUUAAACUACUACGACAAAGCAAAACCAAAGGAAUCUCAUUUGAUGAAUACUUAUGUCCAGUAACUUUGAUACAUAGUUUAGAGCUUUCCCUUUGCUUAGAAGUCAAAAUUCAGGUUUAAAAAUUGAUUGUUAAGCAAAAAUAAAUUAUACUUUUAAAAAAUGAAUCUCAAAACAUGAGAAGGUGAUGUUCCUAAGAAGGGCAAAUGCUGCAGGCGCAGAGACUCACUCCAGGCCAGCCUUCACACAACAGGGUAGGGUGCAUUCAGUGCCCCUGGAUUUCCACUUAAAUGUUGCCACUGGGAUGGUCUCUGGGGAAGACCACAAGAACGAGUUAAUGCUGAGGAAGACCUGCAAUAAUUGACUCAUUGCAUAGUAUCCACACACUCCUAACUACAGGGCUGCGGCCAAAAGAAGUGUCAAAUUCGCUUAUGAUAAGAGGAGCAGACCUGGUUCCUGAGAGCUCCCUGUCUCAAGGCAGUGCAAGUCUCUCCUCCCACUCAUGCCAUUGCCAGCUAAUGUUCAAAAACAACUGUUCCUUGAAAAUUCUUCUUUUAGAUUCUCUUGUUUACACCUCAGCUAUAUCUAACUGCCUGGCAUGACUAAAGUGUUUUGUGCUUGGAACAUCCUACAUCUCUGAAGAUCCCUUCCAGUUUUGUGAUUUUAUGAUUCUUUGAACAAUUCAAACAAUCAAAUGAGAAAUACAUCAUGGUUGAUUGACCUCAUAUAAAAAGACACACGAUUCCAAGUAUUUUAUCUAAAACCACUUUUGCUACUGUGGAGACACAUCCAGGCAGUUUAAAGUUGCAGCAAUAUCAUUUCUUUGGAGAAACUGAGAGCAUGCGAUUGGUCUUAUCCUACCAAAUAAAGGACAACCACGUGUGCGGUCUGUGCAGUCUUGCCGCUUUCCCAAUGUAGCCACGUUAGGCAUCACUUGCCAGAGCUGCUGUAUGUUGAAGUAAUAGAGCAAAAUUUAUGUAAAGUGCAAUUCCAACAUCAGCACAUGUCUCUCUCUGAGUCAGAAAAAUGGUGGAGAUACUCAAUGUAAAACUCAAGAAUUCACAGUAUUAUAAACACACAGUUGGCUUGCUUAGCGCUUCUCUCCAAAUUCAAGCACUCCCACAGAUGAGGAGAAAGAUAAGGGCAGCGUGAUGGAUACCUUGACACAUCUGUGGUUUUUUGAUCAUGACUCUCAUCACCAAUGAGGUGUCAAGUGGUUUCAACCUCUAAGUGGCUCUGUGGCCUGGGGAGCUAUGGUGGGAGGGAGAUGGCUGGAGAGAAGUGCAGGGUCCCAGACCAGAGCAAUCACGGUGUAGACAGGUGAUCCAGUGGGGACAAUCAGUUUCCCCAAUGGGGUCUGAGCUCACCUAGACCCAACCCAGACCCACGUCAGGCGGCUGGGCGCCUCAUCUACUGCCUCCCUGACACUGUGUUUCCCUGUCUGUGUACAGGCUGUGCGCCAAAGUUCAGGAAGGGAAAACAGAGCGAUUC
rnacentral:lncRNA from 1 species